UACGUAGGGGGCAAGCGUUGUCCGGAAUCAUUGGGCGUAAAGAGCGUGUAGGCGGCCCGGUAGGUCCGCUGUGAAAGUCCAGGGCUCAACCCUGGGAUGCCGGUGGAUACUGUCGGGCUCGAGUCCGGAAGAGGAGUGUGGAAUUCCUGGUGUAGCGGUGAAAUGCGCAGAUAUCAGGAGGAACACCAAUGGCGAAGGCAGCACUCUGGGACGUGACUGACGCUGAGACGCGAAAGCGUGGGGAGCAAACAGG
rnacentral:rRNA from 1 species